rnacentral:rRNA from 1 species
UUGCGGUUAAAAAGCUCGUAGUUGGAUCUCGGCGGGCAGGGGGUGGUUCGCUCUUCAGCGCUACUGCCCCGCUUUGCCCGUGUGAUUGGCGGAGGUUUCGGGGUGCUCUUCGUUGAGUGACUCGGAGCGCCGUCAGGUUUACUUUGAAAAAAUUAGAGUGCUCAAAGCAGGCUUUUCACGCUUGAAUAUUCGUGCAUGGAAUAAUGGAAUAGGAACUCGUUUCUAUUUUGUUGGUUUUCGGAAAUCGAGUUAAUGAUUAAAAGGACAAUUGGGGGCAUUAGUAUUCAGACGACAGAGGUGAAAUUCUUGGACCGUCUGAAGACUGACUACUGCGAAAGCAUUUGCCAAGAGUGUUUUCAUUAAUCAAGAACGAAAGUUAGAGGUUCGAAGGCGAUCAGAUACCGCCCUAGUUCUAACCAUAAACGAUGCCAGCUAGCGAUCUGCCGAGUUUUUUUUGUAGGCUCCGCAGGAAGCUUUCGGGAAACCAAAGCUUUUGGGUUCCGGGGGAAGUAUGGGUUGCAAAGCUGAAACUUAAAGGAAUUGACGGAAGGGCACCACCAGGAGUGGAGCCUGCGGCUUAAUUUGACUC